rnacentral:rRNA from 1 species
UACGUAGGGGGCAAGCGUUGUCCGGAAUCAUUGGGCGUAAAGAGCGUGUAGGCGGCCUGAUAAGUCGGCUGUGAAAGUCAAGGGCUCAACCCUUGAAUGCCGGCCGAUACUGUCAGGCUAGAGUCCGGAAGAGGCGAGUGGAAUUCCUGGUGUAGCGGUGAAAUGCGCAGAUAUCAGGAGGAACACCUAUGGCGAAGGCAGCUCGCUGGGACGGUACUGACGCUGAGACGCGAAAGCGUGGGGAGCGAACAGGAUUAGAUACCCCGGUAGU